rnacentral:lncRNA from 1 species
CCUUCCUUCCUUCNNNNNNNNNNNNNNNNNNNNNNNNNNNNNNNNNNNNNNNNNNNNNNNNNNNNUUCCUUCAGCAAGAUGCCAAAGACCCCCUCUCUUCCGUGGGCCUGAGUGUCCGGUGCCGUGGACUGUGGAGCGAGUGUAUCUUUGACAACGUGGCCGACCUCUGGACCUGUGACAUCCCAAUUUCUUAUCUCAAUGAACAUCCAGCUGUUCUCGUGGUCACCCGGGUCUUGGUGAUUCUGUCUGGGCUUCUGUCUUUUUCUGCCAUGCCAGCUUUCGUUGCCGGGAUGAGUUGCACCAAGCUUUUCCCCGACACACACACACGGAAACGCACAUUUUCUCUCGCUGCUGGAACCACCUUUCUCCUGGGCGGUAAGUGUCACCUCAACCUUUUCCUACGGUACGGAGCUAAGUGUGAUUUUUUUUUUUCUUGGUGAUUCUGUCUGGGCUUCUGUCUUUUUCUGCCAUGCCAGCUUUCGUUGCCGGGAUGAGUUGCACCAAGCUUUUCCCCGACACACACACACGGAAACGCACAUUUUCUCUCGCUGCUGGAACCACCUUUCUCCUGGGCGGUAAGUGUCACCUCAACCUUUUCCUACGGUACGGAGCUAAGUGUGAUUUUUUUUUUUUACCUCCACAAUAAUUUUUUUUUUUCCUAGGAGGGCCAUCAUGAAAAUUGUAAUAAUUUUUUUAAAAUAAAGUUAACUAAAAAUAAAGAUUUUAGACUAACUCUCUCUCUCUCUCUCACACACACACACACACAUACACGGAUGGAUCGAUGGAUCGAGCGAGGUGUGAAGAUGGUUUUAAUUACCGGUGCAGAUCUAGUGCGAUGAAGAGUUCUGUGCAGCUCACAAGCUUGCUUAUGUUGUGCCUUUUCAUAAUAACAAAGACAAUUCUCUCUCUCUCUCUCUCUCUCUCUCUCUUCUAAUAAAAGCAUUCCUUACUUUUGGAUUUUGGACUUUGGAUUUUUUUUAUUAAUGUGGGAUGAUUUCUAUCCCGUAGGGCUAUCGGGGGCCAUUGCUGUUCUCUGGUACGGCAUCGACACAGUCCAGAAGUAUAAGCUAGAGGUCGGCUUUGGCAUCCCGGGCGUGACGUACGAACUGGGCUACUCCUACUGGAUGGCAGCUGUGGGGGCGGCUUGCGCAGCAGCCAGCGGGUUCUUGUUACUUGCUGCUGAGUGCUUCCAGGCUCGUGUGCCAGGAAAGGAGCCCCACUCCACGCAUCCCCAGCUGGUGGCCAGAUGGCAGGCCACAUACCUGUGAAGGCAGAGCCCAGCAACCUUGGCCAGCUUCAGGACAGAGGUGGAAAACGUUGGCUGGAACACCAGAUGCCUAUUAAACCAGAUGGAGUUAUCCUCUUUCCUUUUUUCUUCUUCACCAUUUGGCUGGUUUCCUCAUUCUGGUCUUUUGCUCAUUGUCCAGAGGCACUAGGCAGUGAUGCGCAUGGUUAAAUCAGGCCUCAUCCGUCGGCCCCGUUUCCUUCCCUUGCGCUCCCAGAGGAGUUCUG